GUCGGCAGGAGCUUAGACUGUUCAUACAGCGAAGUUUGGGGUUUGCGAUCAGCCUGAAUUUAUUGCAGUCAAGUGACCCUUUAUAGGAUGUAGAUGUAGGAGAGCAAAGAUUCCAGAUUCAAACUUGGAUUAACCUGGGGCCCAGCUCAGUUAGUGAUUUUGCCGACUUCCUGGAUGUUCAUUUCUGGUUCUGCACAAAAGAGUCACAUUUCCUUUUGGAAUCAGGACCAGGAGACAGAAGCGGACUCGGGAACUGUGAGUGCCCCCCGGUCUUCCCCGGCGCCUCUGACCCCUUCCUCCAUCUCGCCGCCUUCCCUGCCUUCAGCGCGGAGUUCCCUUUCUCCAGGGCUUCUUGUCUGAACUCACCCCCUCGGCUCUCAGCACCAUUCUCCACUUUUAGGAAAAGAAACUCUACAAUUUCUAUGCAAACAUCGGAUAAGAAGGGGAGGGGGAGUGACUUUGAUUUUCAUUUUAAGACUCUGAAAGACGGAGAAAGUAAGCAGAAGCGGGCUGGUGUAUUUCA
rnacentral:lncRNA from 1 species